rnacentral:rRNA from 1 species
GAUGAACGCUGGCGGCGUGCCUAAUACAUGCAAGUCGAGCGAACAGACGAGGAGCUUGCUCCCCUGACGUUAGCGGCGGACGGGUGAGUAACACGUGGAUAACCUACCUAUAAGACUGGGAUAACUUCGGGAAACCGGAGCUAAUACCGGAUAAUAUAUUGAACCGCAUGGUUCAAUAGUGAAAGACGGUUUUGCUGUCACUUAUAGAUGGAUCCGCGCCGCAUUAGCUAGUUGGUAAGGUAACGGCUUACCAAGGCAACGAUGCGUAGCCGACCUGAGAGGGUGAUCGGCCACACUGGAACUGAGACACGGUCCAGACUCCUACGGGAGGCAGCAGUAGGGAAUCUUCCGCAAUGGGCGAAAGCCUGACGGAGCAACGCCGCGUGAGUGAUGAAGGUCUUCGGAUCGUAAAACUCUGUUAUUAGGGAAGAACAAAUGUGUAAGUAACUAUGCACGUCUUGACGGUACCUAAUCAGAAAGCCACGGCUAACUACGUG